rnacentral:misc_RNA from 1 species
UACGGAAUGUGCAAACGUUAUUCGGAAUUACUGGGCGUAAAGGGCGCGUAGGCGGAACAUUAAGUUAGGGGUGAAAGGCCUGGGCUCAACCUGGGAACGGCCUCUAAGACUGAUGAUCUCGAGUCCGGAAGAGGAUGGCGGAAUUCCCAGUGUAGAGGUGAAAUUCGUAGAUAUUGGGAAGAACACCGGUGGCGAAGGCGGCCAUCUGGUCCGGCACUGACGCUGAGGCGCGAAAGCGUGGGGAGCAAACAGG